rnacentral:rRNA from 1 species
ACUCCUACGGGAGGCAGCAGUAGGGAAUCUUCCACAAUGGGCGCAAGCCUGAUGGAGCAACACCGCGUGAGUGAAGAAGGGUUUCGGCUCGUAAAGCUCUGUUGUUAAAGAAGAACACGUAUGAGAGUAACUGUUCAUACGUUGACGGUAUUUAACCAGAAAGUCACGGCUAACUACGUGCCAGCAGCCGCGGUAAUACGUAGGUGGCAAGCGUUAUCCGGAUUUAUUGGGCGUAAAGAGAGUGCAGGCGGUUUUCUAAGUCUGAUGUGAAAGCCUUCGGCUUAACCGGAGAAGUGCAUCGGAAACUGGAUAACUUGAGUGCAGAAGAGGGUAGUGGAACUCCAUGUGUAGCGGUGGAAUGCGUAGAUAUAUGGAAGAACACCAGUGGCGAAGGCGGCCCCCUGGACAGAUACUGACACUCAGAUGCGAAAGCGUGGGGAGCAAACAGGAUUAGAUACCCUGGUAGGAUAGCG